AUAAAUGACCGAAAAACCGAAAGACCGGAAGGGACCGAUCCGGACCGGCCGGUUCGGUCCGGGUUUUAGACUGAAAAUAAGUGUUUUCGGGCCGGUUCGGUCCCUAUACUCAGCGUGGCGGUCCGGUCCCGGUUCUUGAAUAUUAGUGUUUUCGGGCCGGUUCGGUCCCUAUACUCACUUGGCGGUCCGGUCCCGGUUCUUGAAUAUAAAGUGUUUUCUGGACCGAAAAACCCGAGCUUGUGUACGUGUCGUCCAAUUAUAAGUUUGUUUUCCGAAGUAUAUUGUGUUAGUAUGGACACGACCACAUGUGAUUAGUCAGUAGACCUAAAAUCUAAACCCGAGCUUCCUCAGCUAGAGAGCGAUUCCGCCUCCAAGGCUCCAAGCCUCCAACUCUCUGUCUCUCUCGGUCUCUCUCCCAAAAAAUCAGAAAUCGAUCUUCACUUCUUCAGCCCUCAGACCCAUUCAGCCCUCAGCCCUCAGCCCUUGGUCUCUCCCAGAAUUUGCACUUCAUAGUCAGUUCCUCACAAUCGAUCUCCCAGAAAUCGGUCUUCCAGAAGACUCUUCCUCACUUACGGCCUCUCAGCUUGCUCCUAGCCUUGACGAUCUUCUCCUUACUGCUUGCUAGCUCCUCUUCGCUUCAGGACCCCUAGAUCGCCAACGCCGAGCGCAGAUUGAAGGAUCUUUGAGCUCUUCGAGGAAAAGUAGAAAGGGUGAGGCUAGCAAAUUGAAGUCCAGCAAAGGUGCAGAAAGGAGUCCUGAUCAACAUCUCCAUUCACUCAAGGCUGACCAAAGGCAAUUGACUUUUGAUACAACGAUGUUGAGGCAGUGACUAUCAGGCAGGGUGAUGUUUUGUCUCUGUAAGGUUAUUCAUUAGGAGAUGUAUGACAAUUGACAAACUGUAAAUUUGUAACGGGAUAUAUAUCAAGAUGUCUGAUUAGAUAUGAUUAACUGUUUGAUGUAAGAAUACAAAGCCCCGCUAGUCUUUUUCCAUCAUUCAGAUCCAAAUAGUUGAAUGUAUUCUAGAUAUCAGGUUUACUUUCCGUUUGUUUAUCUACAAAUUAAGACUUUGUUUCAAAUUGAAUGAAUACUUUUAAUGUUUGAGAUCUGUUGUUUAAGAAGGCUAACAUGUGCUUGUG